UGAUAGGGGAACCCUGAGUGCUCAGCUCUGCUGGGCUUUUGUUAAGAGUAAAAAUCUUGGCGAAUAAGUGGUGGGUAAGACAGGUGCCAGCCGCCGCGGUAACACCUGCGCCACAAGUGGCAAUCGUUAUUAUUGGGCCUAAAGCGUCCGUAGCAGGUUUUGUAAAUCUCUUGUGAAAUUGUCGUGCUUAACACGGCAGCGUGCAAGAGACACUGCAAGACUUGGGACCGGGAGGAGUGAGAGGUAUUUCUUGGGGAGCGGUAAAAUGCUAUAAUCCAAGAAGGACCACCUAUGGCGAAGGCAUCUCACCAGAACGGAUCCGACUGUGAGGGACGAAAGCUAGGGGAGCGAACCGGAUUAGAUACGAGAAAUCAUCCUGAUUUCUGGAAUUAGCUCAGAAAGAAUCGUUAAUACUACUGAAGUAUGAGUUAUGAAGAGAAAUUGUCAAAUGUUGAUUUCCUCGCUAAUUACCCGAGUAGUCCUAGCUGUAAACUCUGCGAGCUAGGUGUUGCACAAUCUACGAGGUUGUGCAGUAUCGUAGCGAAGGCGUUAAGCUCGCCGCCUGGGAAGUACGGU
rnacentral:rRNA from 1 species